UACAGAGGUCCCAAGCGUUGUUCGGAUUCACUGGGCGUAAAGGGUGCGUAGGCGGCGCGGUAAGUUGGGUGUGAAAUCCCUCGGCUCAACCGAGGAAUUGCGCUCGAUACUGCCGUGCUCGAGGGAGACAGAGGUGAGCGGAACUUAGGGUGGAGCGGUGAAAUGCGUUGAUAUCCUAAGGAACACCAGUGGCGAAAGCGGCUCACUGGGUCUCUUCUGACGCUGAGGCACGAAAGCUAGGGGAGCGAACGGG
rnacentral:rRNA from 1 species